rnacentral:rRNA from 1 species
AAGGUGGGGCAGAUGAUUGGGGUGAAGUCGUAACAAGGUAGCCGUAUCGGAAGGUGCGGCUGGAUCACCUCCUUUCUAAGGA